CUACGGGACGCUGCAGUGAGGAAUUUUGCGCAAUGGGGGCAACCCUGACGCAGCAACGCCGCGUGAGUGAAGAAGGCCCUUGGGUCGUAAAGCUCUGUCAAUGGGGAAGAAGUUACUUGGUAUUAAUAGUGCCUUGUAUUGACGGUACCCAUGAAGGAAGCACCGGCUAACUCCGUGCCAGCAGCCGCGGUAAUACGGGGGGUGCAAGCGUUAUUCGGAAUUAUUGGGCGUAAAGGGCACGCAGGCGGUCCUGUCAGCCAGAUGUGAAAGCCCGGGGCUCAACCCCGGACGUGCAUUUGAAACAGCAGGACUUGAGUACGGGAGAGGAAAGGGGAAUUCCUGGUGUAGAGGUGAAAUUCGUAGAUAUCAGGAGGAACACCGGUGGCGAAGGCGCCUUUCUGGACCGAUACUGACGCUGAGGUGCGAAGGCGUGGGUAGCGAACGGGAUUAGAUACCCCAGUAGUC
rnacentral:rRNA from 1 species